UCUGUUUUUAGGUCUUCUUGUAGUCUCCACACUGCCUUCCACAGUGGUUGAACUAAUUUAGACAUCCACCAACGGUGUGUAAGUAAUGCCUUUGUUCCACAACCUUGCCAGUAUCUAUUUCUUGACUAUUUAAUAAUAGCCAUUCUGACUGGUGUUAGAUGGUAUCACAUUGUGAUUUUUAAUUGCAUUUCUUUCAGGAUCGGUGAGGUUGAGCUUUUCUUCAUAUGAUUGUUAGCCACAUAUAUAUCUUCUGUUGAAAGUGUCUGUUCGUGUCCUUUGCCCUCUUUUUUUAUGGAGUUGGUUUUUUUUUCUUGAACAUUUGUUUAAGUUCCUUAUAGAUGCUGCAUAUUAGACUUUGGUCAUAUGCAUAGGUUGCAAAACUUUUCUCCCAUUCUGUAGGUUGUCUGUUCAUUCUGUAGAUAGUUUGUCUGUUCAUUCUGUAGAUAGUUUUCUUUUGCUGUGCAGAAGCCCUUAAGUUUAAUUAGGUUUCAUUUGCCAAUGUUUGCUUUUGUUUGCAAAUAUUUGCUCCCAUUCUUUGGGUGUCUUUAUUUUUGUUGGUGCAGUGUGAAUCACAAAAGUUUCACAUUCUAAUAAGGUUUAAUAUGGCUGAUUUUUCUUCUUCCCUUUUGCUUUCGGCAUCAUAUCUUAGAAAAGAUUGUUUAACCUAAGACCACGAAGAUGUAUUCCUGUGUUAUUUUCUACAUUUUGGGCCUGUUUAGCUAUUAUAUAUAGAUAUAUGAUCCUUUUGAGCCACUUACAUUUUCAGUGUGAGGCAGGAGUUCGACUUGCAUGGAAUAUGCACUUGCUUAGAAAUAUUUUAUUAAAAAUAUUUAUCCAUGUAUAAUUUAUUUGGUGACAUUAUAAAAUUAUUUCACUAUAAAUGUAUGUAUUCAUUUUUGAGCAUUAUAUUCUAUUACAUUGAUCAACAUCUAUAUUCUUAUACUAGCACCAUAAAUCUUGAUUGCUAUUACUUUGCAGUGAGUUUUGAAGUCAGGAAGUAUGUAUCUCCCACGCCAACCUUUUUUCUUCUUUCUCAAAAUAAUUUAGGCUACUCUGGGUCUAUUGCAUUAUAUAUGAACUUUAGAUAAGCUUUGUGAAUUUAGAGGAAGGAAGUGUCACCUGGGAUUUUGAUAGAGGUUGCAUUAAAUCUAUAGAUCCAUUUGGAAAAUAUUGUCAGCCUAACAAAAUUAACAUUUAUAAGUAAUGAAUAGUCAAAGUUUUUUUCCGUUGUUUUUCAAAAUGUUUUCUAUAGUUUUUGUGUAUAUAUCUUAUACUUAAUUUGAUAAACUUAUUUUUGAUGUCAUCUCAAAUGGAACAUUCUGAGAUUUUUGUUUUAGAUUAUUAAUUGCUAGCAUAUAGAAAUUCAGAGGAUUUUAUGUAUUCACCUUGUAUACUGCAAGUUUGUUGAACUCAUUUCUAAAUUCUAAACAUAUUUGAAUAGAGUCCUUUAGAAGUUUUAUACAUAAAAUCACGUCAUAUGCCAACAGACAGAGUUUGACUUCCUUUCCAUACUGGAAGCCUCAUAUUUAUUUUUCUAGACUAACUGCCAUGUCUGUAUCCUCUAGUACAAUGUUGAAAACAAGUGUCAAGAGUGGAAAUCCGUGUGUUGUUUCUAAUCUUGGAGAAAUUAGUGAACGUUUCAGAUAACUUAUGAUGAUACAGUAGUUUUUCAUAGAUCCCCUUUAAAAGGGAGACAGUUCCCUUAACUGCCUCAUUUGCUGCAUAUUUUUCUCAUAAGGAGUUGGAGAAUUCUCAAGUGCCUAUGCAUCUUCUGAGAUGAUUAUGUGGUUUUUCUUCUUUAGUAUAUGAAUACAGUGCAUAGCACUAGUUGUAUGUUGAACCAAAUUUUGCUUUCCUGAGGUAAAUACCCUUGAUAUAGUAUACAAUACUUUUUACAUGUUUCUGGUUUGUUUUACUAAAAUUUCCUUGAUUAUUUUUGCCCCUGUAUUCAUAAGGUAUAUUGUUCUUCAUUUUCCCUAUUUGAAAUGUCUUUGUCUGGCUGCAGUAUCAGGGUAAACUAACUCAGUAUACAAUGGGAAAUCAUGUUUUCUCCACUUUUUUGGAAUAAUUUGUAAUAAAUUAGUAUUAGUUGUUUAAAUGAUUACAAUAAUUCACUGAUGAAUUCUUCUUGAUGAGGUCAGAGAGGUUAAUCCUAAGAAUAGUUACAUGAGCUUGGAAGGAGACCCUUCCCCAGCUGAGCCUUAGCCUGGGCCAUCACCUACAUCUGGACUGAAGACCCAGAGAAACUACUCCAUCAGGAAUUGUUUGGGACCAUGCAUUCUGUUGCCCACUGCCAACCCGAAAGCCACCAAGGUAGCAGCCAUAUGGUUAAAACGGCAAAUGGGAAUGAAGAAAAAAGAGUUACAUAAAUAUUAUAGCUGAAAAAAUGGAGUUUAUAAUAAAGCUUACAAGGAUCAUUGGUCAUAUUCCUAAGACUGCAGUGGAAAGUUUCAAGAUACAGCUUUUUCUAGGUCUUUAGAAAGGUAUCACUCCAGUGAAUUUUUCAAGUAACUCUUUAUAAUUGCUAUCUUCUUCCUCAGUAGAUUUCUUAAACCAUAGUUCAUAAAACUACAUUUCCAUGCAUAACAUAAGAAUUCUAGUGUUCCACUAGUAACUCUAAUGUGUCUAAUAGCUACGUAGAAUGUAAAUGCACUUGGUGAACUCAUGUGAUAAUAUUUAAGCAUAUUCCUUCAAUAACAGAUAAGAAUACAGUUUGAUGAGCCCCCAUAAUCUAACACUGAGAAAUUGGCAGUCACAGAGGACAGUGUAUUCCACUCAUCGUAGAGGGCACAUUUUCAUAUUUAUGAAACGCAGGUGCACCUUAAAUUUGACAGUGUUAAAACACUAUUGACGAGAAGGCAACCAUAAUGUUAUUGUCCUCAUUUACAUAUACAUGAGUUUGGUCUAUAAACCUUCCAUUGACAUUUUCAGGUCAUAUCAUUAACAUCAUAUCUUGCAUAGGAGGUUUCAGAAGGUUGGAAAGAUAAGCUCACAGGAGCAACAUAGGAAUCUCACAAGAAGUGCAGCGUCACAAAAGCUUCAGAUUAGCACAGGUGAUAAUAAUAUGGGGAAAAUUAUGGGCAAGAUGAAUUGAAGAGUGAUUCAGGAGAGUUACAUCUGAAUGAGAGAAAAUUUAGGAAAACCUUUGUCAAUGUGUUUUUCUUGUAUGUUCCAUCCCAUGUAAUCAUAGGAAUGACACAAGACAAAUAUCCACAUGUAUGCACAUUGAAAACAGUUUUACCAGUAAUUGUAAUGUAUUUAUAUUAUUAUUAUGUGAUUUAUUUAUAAGUGAUAAAAGUAUUAGUUUCUUCAUUUGUUAGUGGUUUUGUUCUUCCAUUCUGGUGUAUGACAUGUUACAAUUGACAGAAAUGAUGUAUCUCACAAUUUAUUAGAAAAUUACUUUUUAGGGGUUAAUGUAGGCUUGAUAAUAUACUGCAUG